AUUUAAAGCCAGCGUUGAUGACGUAACUAAUGAGGUAAUAACCGAGGUGCGCCAAUUGCUGGUUGAAAACAAUUUCCGAACCCCCUACUCGUCCUUGGAUCUACUAGGUCCGUCGAGAAUUUUUGUAAGGGCUCCCUUCAAACAACGGUAAAUCC